rnacentral:lncRNA from 1 species
UCCUACUCAUUUCCAGAAAGAAUUGUAAGGUUGAUUCAUCUGAUAUAAUGAUAGGUGGAAUGUCGUUUCUAAUCUGAAAUUUGAUCGACAAUGUUGUUGCGUUUGUGUCUAGCCGUAAUGCACUGCAUAUUUUGGUUAGCAUUUCUUUGAACGAACUUGUUGAUGGAACUAGUAUGCCAGUAACUUCAAAUUUUGUGUAUUGGUUACUAUCAGCCCAUGUGCCGUUGAAAUAAAGUACAACUGGAAUCAACUCCAUUGUCUGUCAACAGAAUAAGUAUUGGUAAGUAACCAAAUCAGUGUUAGAUGGUAACCAAUUUAGCAUUAGUCAGUAACCAAGUCUUCAUAAGUAAGCAUUAUACUAUUACACAGUAACAAAAUUAUUAUUAGUCAGUAACCAAUGAAAUGACACACAGUAACCAAGUCAUUAUCAAUUAGUAACCAAUGCAAUACAGCAACCACUGUAAUGUUAAGCAGUAACCAAUACAACAUAAUCAAUAACCAAUAUAAUGUUAAGUAACCAAAUAACUAGUUAAGUAACCAAAUAACUAGUUAAGUAACCAAAUAACUAGUUUAAUGUUAGCCGGUAACCAAUAUAUCCAAUGUCAGUAACCAAGUCUUCAUAAACAACCAUUAUAAUAUUACAUAGUAACAAAAUCAUUAUUAGUCAGUAACCAAUGCAGCAACACACAGUAAUUAAGUCAUUAUCAGUUAGUAACCAAUGCAACAUUAGUUAGUACCAUUAUGCAUUAACCAAGUCAGCAUUAAACAGUAACAUAGACAUAGUUAGACAGUAACCAAUGUAAUGUUAAGCAGUAACCAAUACAGCAUAAUCAAUAACCAAUGUAAUGUUAAGUAACCAAAUAAAUAGUUAAGUAACCAAAUAACUAGUUCAAUGUUAGACGGUAACCAAUUUAGUCAAUGUCAGUAACCAAGUCUUCAUAAGCAACCAUUAUAAUAUUACACAGUAACAAAAGCAUUAUUAGUCAGUAACCAAUGCAGCAACACACAGUAACCAAGUCGUUAUCAGACAGUAACCAAUGUAAUGUUAAGCAGUAACCAAUACAGCAUAACCAAUAACCAAUGUAAUGUUAAGCAGUAACCAAUGUAGAAAGCAGUAACCAAUUUUUCAAAUUCAUUUUGCAAUCAAAACAUUCAUUAUUAUUACUGUGUGAUCAUUUUAAGUGCAAAAAACCUAAGAAAGAUAACCAAAACAUUAAUUCAUUUGUAACAAUAGGUAAAUGUAUGAUUGUAAAUUUUAAAAUAACAUACCUCAGUAUUGUUGUAUUGAAAUUGAUGUUGAUCUUGUAUUAAUUAAUCAAUGCAGUAUUUGGUUACUGAACUAGAAGGCGUUGUUGAUUUUGGAGGCUAUUUUCGAUCUUAGAGAUGUGCCGUGACAACCGGCUUCGUCUUCUCCGAUAAAGAGUUUACUCGCGACAGGAGGCUUCGGCGAAGACAACCGGCUUCGUCUUCUCCGAUUAAGAGUUUACUCGCGACAGGAGGCUUCGGCUUCAUCUUGUUUGUCUUUUUCGUCGUUGAUCUGUUGUUCCGAUUUCAAAAUUGCAUGAUUUUAGGAAUGGUUAAUUUUAAAUAUGAAAUUUGGUAACCGACGUGUAGGAGUUAAUGACACGUGAUUUUAGCACGUAGUUUUGUAAUUAUGUUGUGUAUGUUUCAUUUUUGUAAUUAUGUUGUGUAUGUUUUAUUUUUGUAAUUACUUUCUAAUUGUUGUAUAUUAGUGUAAAGGACCCUUUAAAUUUAUCUACUACCUUAUAAUUUAUAUUCAAAUAUCAAAUUUUAAAAGUAAUUUCAAAAUUUAAAAUUUAAUAUAAAUUGAAUUAAUUUUAGAAAUUAAAUCGUAGAAUUUUAUGUUAUCUAAAUGAGUAAAUCUAUAGGUACAUCUAUUUCACAACUCUCUUCCCGAUACUCAUCUCCCUUUGUCGUUUUGACAUAAUAGAAAACCUCGUCUCCCUCAUUUGUCCUACUAUUAUACUAUUAAAUACUGAGCUCACUUAUAUAUUUAAAUUCUUAACAUUCUCUCUCAUCUUUUUUCUUCAAUCAAUCCAACUAAAAAGAUAAAAACAAAUUUUUCGUGGUGAAUCAUCAUUUUACCUAACAUUAAGAUUAAUAAUAAUUACCAGUUGAGUGCUAUACUUGGUCAUCUAAAGUUGACAGAGCCCCUUUUCAAACAAUAUUCAUCAAUCUCUUUAUGUUUCAAGCUUAUAUAUUCUUCUGAUUCAAACUAUGCAGAUGAUCCCCUCAUCUUCUUUAUUAGUCAUGAUUGUCGAAAAUUUAGGACCCUUUCCCUGUUCCUUGGAAACCAGUUGUCUUAAGCUCAUGAGGCAUAGACAGUAGCCCCAACAUUCUGAAAUUAAACCAUCAGUCUCUCAUCUUCUUCGUGCUCUUGUUGAAUCUCAACCAGGGGUUGCUAAGCGUCUCAAUACAACCCGUUUUCGCAAUAGAAAAUUAUGCUCAACAAAAUACACAACUCCCGGAUUUUCCAACCAGAAACCAAUCUCCCCAAUAUCAAAACCAAAACCAUUAACUCCCAUCUCCACAAUUCAAGUCCAUACAAACUCUUAUUCUUAAAGAAAUUAAUAGCAAGGCUACAUAUUAAUGCAACUAUAAUUAAAAUCAAAUUGAAAAAUUAAAGCACAUACCACUGGAUCGUCGUCACAAGUUCUCAUUAAGCGAAAUUUUAACUUCUUUGGGUGAAACUUGACCGUAGUUUGGACUUAACACAAUUUUGGACAACCCAGGUGAACGUAGAGAAGCAGGGGAUGAAUCGGUGGUAAAGUCGAAAUCUUUGUUGGAAUUAUCAUUUGAGAAAUCGUAGCUAGAAUUUCGCCACAUUUUUUUUAGCGGAAACUGCUUCGGGUUCAAUAUAAUUGGACGUGAGUUCUUCAGUUUGUUUGAGAAUACUAUUUUUGCGGUUGGUUUUGAUGACUAUGUCAUUAUUGACUAACGGGGACUAGAAGGAAGAUGCAGGUGUUGCUGCAACCACAAUGGGAGUUUCUUCUUGUUGUUUUUGUUUGAUGGUGUAAAAUGAUUUGUGAUUUGGCGGACUGCUUCUUCACAGUGGGGGGUGAGGAGAGGGUUUCGUUUGAGUUUUUGGGUUAG